rnacentral:rRNA from 1 species
AUUGAACGCUGGCGGCAGGCCUAACACAUGCAAGUCGAGCGAGCGGCGGAAGGGUGAGUAAUGUAUGGGGACUGCCCGAUAGAGGGGGAUAACUACUGGAAACGGUAGCUAAUACCGCAUACAAUCGGAUAACCCAUAUGGGAUUAGCUAGUCGGUGAGGGAAUGGCUGACCUAGGCGACGAGCCCUAGCUUGUCUGAGCGGAUGAUCAGCCACACUGGGACUGUGACACGGCCCAGACUCCUACGGAGUCAGCAGUGGGGAAUAUUGGACAAUGGGGGAAACCCUGAUCCAGCCAUCCCGCGUGUAUGAUGAAGGCCUUCGGGUUGUAAAGUACUUUUGGCAGAGAAGCGGUAUUUGCAGAAUAAGCACCGGCUAACUACGUGCCAGCAGCCGCGGUAAUAC